UGAGUAAUAUAUCGGAACGUAGCCUAGAUGGGGGAGUAAGUAGCGAAAGUUACGCUAAUACCGCAUACGAUCUCACGGAUGAAAGCGGGGGAUUCGCAAGGACCUCGCGCUCAUGGGUCGGCCGAUAUCUGAUUAGCUAGUUGGUGAGGUAAAGGCGUCACCAAGGCGACGAUCCUUAGACUGGUCUGAGAGGAUGAUCAGCCACACUGGGACUGAGACACGGCCCAGACUCCUACGGGAGGCAGCAGUGGGGAAUAUUGGACAAUGGGCGAAAGCCUGAUCCAGCAAUGCCGCGUGAGUGAUGAAGGCCUUAGGGUUGUAAAGCUCUUUUACCCGGGAUGAUAAUGACAGUACCGGGAGAAUAAGCCCCGGCUAACUCCGUG
rnacentral:rRNA from 1 species